GUGGGGCUGUUGAUCAAGUGAGUAUGUGUAUGUGUGUGUCUAUAAAUCCACACCCAUUUUUAACCAGAAAUAUCCAGACUAUACUUCCAGCAAGAACAUUUGCUAGUUCAGUCUUUAAGGUACAAGAUGACCAGUCCAUAAGCUUCCUGUGAGGAAUUUCCAAGAAGCCACGAUGUUACAUACAGUCAGUUUUGGUCCUCUGUCUCUCCUUUAUCAGAGUUCUUUCCAACUUUGCCAUUGUGAUCAACGAAAACAGAGAAUUCCCCAGACACUCUCAAGAGGUACUAGAGGAUGGGGAGAUGACAUCACUUGGGUAAAGACUUGUGAAGAAGAUCUUUCAUAUUCUAAACAGAUCCUUCUUAACAGUCAGAGCUGAUAUAAGUGGAAGAUACUCUAAUAGACUCACCAGCAUGUGGAUGUCCUAAACCUCAGUUUGUCAGGAUAUGACCUGAUUUAGAUGAGGUCAUGCUGGAAUAGGAUGGGCCUCUCAAUCAGGAUGGCUGUCGUCUUUACAAAAAGUAAGUAUCUGGACAUAGAGAUAUGCACACAGAGAGAAUAUCACGUGCAAAUGAAGCUCAUGCAGCAGAAGCCAAAAGAUACCAAAAGUUGUCAGUGAACUACCAAAAGCUAGGAGAGAGGUGUGGAAGAUUCUCCUUCACAGUUUGCAAGAGCACCCAGCCUUGCCGACACCUUGACCUCUGACGUCUAGCCUCCAGUGAGAAAAUACAUGUCCGUGGUUUAAGCCACUCGAUGUGUGGUACUUUGUCACAACAGCACUGCCAAACCAAUUCAGGUGGGAUCUCUCCUCUGCCCAAGUUGCAGGAUUUCCAGGAUCAGUAAGAAAACAUCACAACUUCUCAUUGCGCACUUACAAAGCUUAGCUAGAAAGAACAGAGGAAAUCAUUUUUUACAGUAACUUUCUUAGGCUCCAUUUCUACCCCCCACCCUGAACACAUUUCUGUCCAGUUGGAUGUUAUUUCUAUACUCAAGACAGUUUAUAAAAUUGAUUAAGCUAGUGAGGGGAAAUACCCAAAACCCAUGCUGUGGUUUCCAUUCAAAAGCGAAAAUCACACCCCAAGAAAGAGCUAUUAUUUUGGUAUCUUCAGUUAUGCUGAAAGCAGAUAUCAACAAAACCCCUCCCUUCCUAUGCUAGGGCUGUGCUCAAGUCUGUUCAAUGUCCUCAGUUUCUCACCGCAAAUGUGAGAUACUAUUACCCUCAUUUUACUUACGGUUUAGCUAGGCCCUGAAGAUGUUCAAUAUCUUGGUUUAAAAAACACAGUCACGCAGCUCAUUAGUGGAGCCAGUACUCAAACUCAAUAAAUUUGUCUCCAGGGUCAACACCCCAAACUCCCGUAUUAUUCUGCUUGGGAUUUGUAGGUUGUGAAAAACAUAGUAUCUACUCAAAACUAACACUGCCACAACUGAAAGUAUUCAGAGCAUGUCCUUUAUAAAAAAAAAAAAAAAAAAAAAAAAAGGAGGGCAAUACACACUAUUUUCAACAAACAUGUUAUAGGAAAAAUUGUAGGCAGUCUCGCCAUUCCCAGCAUCGAGGCUCCACCCUCAACAAACCAAAGGACAAGUGUCUAUCAGCUUUUGCUGACUCAGUAAUACUCAACCUGAGAAUCUUGGAGGCCAACAGAGGAAGAACAGGGUAGUGUGAUUCCAAAAUCCCCAGCACACCCCCUCAGGAAAAAUCCCUGAUCUAAAUGACCUAGUAUUCUUACUUCAUCCACUGUACCCACAGGAAAAUUUUACAGAGGAUAGUUUACUUUGGCAGCAUUCUUGACUUUUGUGCAGACCUCUUCUGGCAUUACACAUUGCCCUCGACAUUUCCCACUACCCAGAACCCCUCCUUCCUGGACAGGCUUUGGGUAAUAAAGCCUUACUUCAGCAACUUUUGCUCUUCUUAAGAUAUUUGUGAUUAAUAUUUCCACUUGAGCUUCUGUGUUUAACAAUGGAAGGCUGGAGAUUUCAAAGCUCUAAAGGUUCCAGGUACUAACAAGUGGGCUUUCACCUACUUCUUAAAAAUCACCUGUUCUGUCUACCUGAAAAACCUGCAUCUGUUAUCAUAUUGAUGUCACUUUCUUCCCAUUGCAUUAAUCCUAAGGGACACUUAGUAAUUUUAUUUGCAUUAAUCAUGUAUCUUUAGUAUCCUAAGAAAAGUGUCAGAGUAAAGCAAUGUGCCUCAAAGAGCAAGUUCAGUUUGAUCUGCUUUUAUAUUUGUAUUUUGCAAAUAUCUUGUAUAAGUCAUCCAAUAAUCAUAGACAAUCAUGUCUAUUGGUUCAGGCAUGUUAAUACCAAUCUAAAAUCUUCAUAAAAAUUCCUUGAAAAUUUGUUUUAAAGCUUUCAAAUUCUAAAAUAUAGUAACUAAUCAUC